rnacentral:lncRNA from 1 species
UGUUACUGCAACAUAUUAAACUCAAAAAAUAUUUCUUACACCAACUUAUGUAUGUUGAUUGUUGAGAAAUUAAAACAAUGAUUAAUCAGUUUGAGAAAUGCUCUACGGACAUAUUGCACCUGUAAAUAUGCCUCAAAUUUCUAGAAAUCAUCAUUAAAAUAGCUUUAACCAUCACUAAUCCGACCGGAUUGAAUUGUAUACAAAAUCUUAUUGAAGUACUUUGGAGGAUUUGUUCUGUAAAUCUUGUGUUUGUUCGAUUGGCAAUUCUAGGCUCGGUCGAAGUUGAUAACAGACUCUCCGAUCGCCAUGAAUCCUUAAGUCUAUUCCGUCUCGGACCUGUUCAUCGU